rnacentral:rRNA from 2 species
AGAGUUUGAUCCUGGCUCAGGACGAACGCUGGCGGCGUGCUUAACACAUGCAAGUCGAACGGAAAGGUCUCUUCGGAGACACUCGAGUGGCGAACGGGUGAGUAACACGUGGGCAAUCUGCCCUGCACACCGGGAUAAGCCUGGGAAACUGGGUCUAAUACCGGAUAGGACCACUUGGCGCAUGCCUUGUGGUGGAAAGCUUUUGCGGUGUGGGAUGGGCCCGCGGCCUAUCAGCUUGUUGGUGGGGUGAUGGCCCACCAAGGCGACGACGGGUAGCCGGCCUGAGAGGGUGUCCGGCCACACUGGGACUGAGAUACGGCCCAGACUCCUACGGGAGGCAGCAGUGGGGAAUAUUGCACAAUGGGCGCAAGCCUGAUGCAGCGACGCCGCGUGGGGGAUGACGGCCUUCGGGUUGUAAACCUCUUUCACCAUCGACGAAGGUCCGGGUUCUCUCGGAUUGACGGUAGGUGGAGAAGAAGCACCGGCCAACUACGUGCCAGCAGCCGCGGUAAUACGUAGGGUGCGAGCGUUGUCCGGAAUUACUGGGCGUAAAGAGCUCGUAGGUGGUUUGUCGCGUUGUUCGUGAAAUCUCACGGCUUAACUGUGAGCGUGCGGGCGAUACGGGCAGACUAGAGUACUGCAGGGGAGACUGGAAUUCCUGGUGUAGCGGUGGAAUGCGCAGAUAUCAGGAGGAACACCGGUGGCGAAGGCGGGUCUCUGGGCAGUAACUGACGCUGAGGAGCGAAAGCGUGGGGAGCGAACAGGAUUAGAUACCCUGGUAGUCCACGCCGUAAACGGUGGGUACUAGGUGUGGGUUUCCUUCCUUGGGAUCCGUGCCGUAGCUAACGCAUUAAGUACCCCGCCUGGGGAGUACGGCCGCAAGGCUAAAACUCAAAGGAAUUGACGGGGGCCCGCACAAGCGGCGGAGCAUGUGGAUUAAUUCGAUGCAACGCGAAGAACCUUACCUGGGUUUGACAUGCACAGGACGCGUCUAGAGAUAGGCGUUCCCUUGUGGCCUGUGUGCAGGUGGUGCAUGGCUGUCGUCAGCUCGUGUCGUGAGAUGUUGGGUUAAGUCCCGCAACGAGCGCAACCCUUGUCUCAUGUUGCCAGCGGGUAAUGCCGGGGACUCGUGAGAGACUGCCGGGGUCAACUCGGAGGAAGGUGGGGAUGACGUCAAGUCAUCAUGCCCCUUAUGUCCAGGGCUUCACACAUGCUACAAUGGCCGGUACAAAGGGCUGCGAUGCCGCGAGGUUAAGCGAAUCCUUUUAAAGCCGGUCUCAGUUCGGAUCGGGGUCUGCAACUCGACCCCGUGAAGUCGGAGUCGCUAGUAAUCGCAGAUCAGCAACGCUGCGGUGAAUACGUUCCCGGGCCUUGUACACACCGCCCGUCACGUCAUGAAAGUCGGUAACACCCGAAGCCAGUGGCCUAACCCUCGGGAGGGAGCUGUCGAAGGUGGGAUCGGCGAUUGGGACGAAGUCGUAACAAGGUAGCCGUACCGGAAGGUGCGGCUG